rnacentral:rRNA from 1 species
UAAACAUUGACAGUUAAUUACACCCACUGUCCGCCUGGGGACUACGAGCGCUAGCUUAAAACCCAAAGGACUUGGCGGUGCUUUAGACCCCCCUAGAGGAGCCUGUUCUAGAACCGAUAAUCCCCGUUAAACCUCACCCUUCCUUGCCAUUUCCGCCUAUAUACCGCCGUCGUCAGCUUACCCUGUGAAGGUCCAACAGUAAGCGCAAUCGGUAAAGCCCAAAACGUCAGGUCGAGGUGUAGCGAAUGGAAGGGGAAGAAAUGGGCUACAUUUACUGACACAGUAAAUACGGAUGAUACCCUGCAACGAGUAUCUGAAGGAGGAUUUAGCAGUAAGCAAAAAGCAGAGUGUUUUGCUGAAACUGGC